CUGUUUGUACACAAUGAUGAAGUAGAACGUUUGCGCGCGCAUUUUGGCAACAGAAGUAUGGAGGAGAUACACAGCUUGUCAAGCUAUGCAAGGGGAUUAUCAGCUAAAGAUCGCGAAUGUUACUUUAACAAGUUAACUUUAACAAAUGGUGUCCGACUUACAGAUCCGUCUUCUAUUAAUACAUGGGUUGAAGAUGUUAGAAAGUGGCCAAAUAUACAGUGGCCGGAUAUAUAUACCUAUUUAAUUGAGAAACCAAGUGUGUACACCAGAGAGAAAUUACGAGCCUAUAAGUCACUGGAUGCUUAUGAAUACGUUGUCUGUGGACAUGCACAGGAUGUCAAAUACCAUGACAUAGGCUCAGAGUUUUGUGUUUUAAGAGCAGAAGUUCUCCCUAGUCAACGACAAGGACACAAGACAAUGAUGUACGAUGCUUGGGUUAUAAUCAACAAACGAGAAACCUACAUCCUCAGCUAAUUGCACCUGUAUGGCAGGUGUUGACAGAUGAUGACAUUCGGGAACUGCGGGAUGUGGACCCAGGUGCUGCAGUGCUGACAAGCCUUGAAAACAGUGACACGGACACAGCAUCAUCUGACACUGAUUUAGAGGAACAUCCAGACUUACCUGAGCCCUUGACAGCUUUAUGGGAUGCAACACUAAGGGAGCUCUCACCACAGGACAUGCAGGUGAAAUGUGAAGAUACAUUUCAUAAACUAAAAACUACACUACAACCUCAGCAAUGUGAGAAACUGGAAUUUGUGACACGGCAACAGUCAAAGUCAAAUGAGUGGCACACCUAUAGGGCUGGUCGGAUCACAAGCACCAAACUUCACCAUGCAACCACAACUGACAAGAUAAGCAAAACAUACCUAAAUGAUAUAAUGCAGUACAACAAAACAGAGUUAAAUGUCCCAUCUGUGCUCUGGGGUCAAAACAUGGAGGAAACAGCAAGACAAGCCUACACUGCAUUUAUGUCCCAAAGCCAUCCAGAUUUCAGCAUCAGCUCAUGUGGCUUAGUAGUACAACCUUCUGAGCCACACCUUGGAUCAUCGCCAGAUGGGAUUGUAAGAUGUUCCUGCUGUGGCAAAGGGGUGGUAGAGAUAAAGUGUCCCUACAAAUAUAGGAAUAGCCUUCAAGGAUGUACAGAAGACAAGCAGUUUUGUCUGGACAAGUCAUUUUCAUUGAAACAUUCGCACACAUACUAUUAUCAAACUCAACUUCACAUCUUUGUCUGUGAUGUAAGCUAUUGUGACUUUGUGUUGUGGACGAAGGAGAAGUUCAUUGUGCAACGCAUCAUAAGAAAUGAAGAGUUUCUCCAGGAGGCUUUGCCAAAAGCACAUGACUUCUUUAUCUCAAAUGUGUUGCCUGAAUUACUAACAAGAAGACAUGAUCCUGUCUUGGUGUCACAGAGAGCCUGUGAAUACUGUGAAAGACCAGAUUUUGGUAAAAUGAUAAUCUGUGCCAACCACAUUCACUACAGUUGUGCACAAAUAAAAAGGAAGCGGGCAACAUGGUUAUGUAGGAAAUGUGUGAGGGUAGAGGCUUGAAUGCCUUCAUGUAGGAGUGGGCAAUAUGAUGUAUUGUGAUAAAAGACCAUAUAUGGUGUUAGAUGUUGGUUAUGGAAUGUUUUUCCUUUGUUUUUGAAGUUAGAUAAAAGUUAAAUGAUGUACUGACUAUCUACAGUAAUAACUAUUCCAGAUCAUAUAUAUAGGUUAAAGAUCCCAUUGUGUAAAUGUUUGUGUUAUUGACUGCUGUGUCUAUGCACUUCAGUGCAACAAGAUAUUUAAAAGUUGUACUCUUUAAUUCAAUGUAUGUAUCAAUAGAUAUAAUUUAGACCUAAAAGUAUUAUUGUUUACAACAUACAAAACCAGUUUGAUUAUAAUAUAUUGUACAUACUCCUACUAUCCAUGUUGUUAUUGUUUAAUGAAAUGAAAAUGGAAUGAAACUCAUUAGUAACAACAUUACAAAUAAAAAAGUUAAACUACA